GACGAACGCUGGCGGCGUGCUUAACACAUGCAAGUCGAGCGGUAAGGCCCUUUCGGGGGUACACGAGCGGCGAACGGGUGAGUAACACGUGGGUGACCUGCCCUCAGCUCUGGGAUAAGCCUGGGAAACCGGGUCUAAUACCGGAUAUGACUCCAUGACGCAUGUUGUGGGGUGGAAAGCCUUGUGCGGCUGAGGAUGGGCCCGCGGCCUAUCAGCUUGUUGGUGGGGUGAUGGCCUACCAAGGCGACGACGGGUAGCCGGCCUGAGAGGGCGACCGGCCACACUGGGACUGAGACACGGCCCAGACUCCUACGGGAGGCAGCAGUGGGGAAUCUUGCGCAAUGGGCGAAAGCCUGACGCAGCGACGCCGCGUGAGGAUGACGGCC
rnacentral:rRNA from 1 species